GACGAACGCUGGCGGCGUGCUUAACACAUGCAAGUCGAACGGAAAGGCCCUGCUUUUGCGGGGCGCUCGAGUGGCGAACGGGUGAGUAACACGUGAGUAACCUGCCCUUGUCUUUGGGAUAACUUCAGGAAACUGGGGCUAAUACCGGAUAGGAGCUCCUGCUGCAUGGUGGGGGUUGGAAAGUUUCGGCGGUUGGGGAUGGACUCGCGGCUUAUCCGCUUGUUGGUGGGGUAGUGGCUUACCAAGGCUUUGACGGGUAGCCGGCCUGAGAGGGGGACCGGCGACAUGGGGACUGAGAGACGGCGCAGACUGCUACGGGAGGCAGCAGUGGGGAGUAUGGCGCAAUGGGCGGAAGCCUGAUGCAGCAACGCCGCGUGCGGGAUGACGGCCUUCGGGUUGUAAACCGCUUUCGCCGGUGACGAAGCGUGAGUGACGGUAAUGGAUAAAGAAGCACCGGCUAACUACGUG
rnacentral:rRNA from 1 species